UUUUUUUUUUUUUUUUUUUUUUUUUUUUUUUUUAAUUUAGAUGUGAUGUUUGUUUCGAGCUCUCGCCUUGUGCACGGUUAAAGUCGCGGCGACAGAAUUAUCGAAAGAUUCCUGCAGCGGAGAGAAGAGAGAGACGAGUCAGCUCGGGCGCCGGCGGAGCCCCGGCUCCCGGCACCUGGGGAAGGAAAACACGCCCCAACACACGCGCCUCUGCGGGCGCCAAAAAUAACCCGCGCGGGCCGGGCGCCCACCCCGGGGCAACCCGCGCCCACCUCAGGGGCCCCAGGCAACCAGCUCGAAGUAACAGGGCGCCCACGUCAGGGGCUCGGGGCGCGCUCCCCCGGGGCUCAGAGCAACUGGGGUCGGAGCACCCGCCACGCAGGAAAAGGCGCCCACCUCCGGCGAAGGACGAGGGGAAGUAGCGGCCGCCCCGACGCUCUCUGGACACGCGGAGGCGGCUCCCGAAGGUCUCCCGGCCCGGGCGGGCGGGGGGCGACGCGCGGGUCUCUCCGGACCCUAACUCCCCAAAGGCCGCCGCGUGCCGAGCUCUGUCACGUCCCUCAGAGCCCCGGUUGAGGCCCGCGGCGCCGAGAGGAAGCGCACGGUGGACAGGGGCGGCCGGGUGUGACAAUCGCCGUGCGGCCCCAGGGCAGCUCCCGGAGGGGGCAGCCCAGACCCACCCCACCCGCCGGCUGCUGUCUCCUCCUGAGCUCGGCGCUGCCCCCUACAGGCCGCGUGGUCCCUCCUCGGUCGCCCCCUGACCCACCGCGAGCCGCCCAGCUCCCGCUCUAGAUUGCCGCCGUCGCGGCUGCUGUCACCGAGGCCGGGUCAUCGGGCCGCGGGUACCUCAAAGCCGAGUGGACUGGAGACCCAAUUCCUUGCCUAUCUUUCGCCUCCCCCGAGCUGCUGCAACUGUCAGUCACCCGCCCGGAACCCCGAGGGGCAACUACCGCGCAGGCCUCGGAGCCCGGAACCAGGGUCCUGGGGCUUAGGAUCUCGGCCGCUGCGCCUCAUUCCUGCCCCAGCCCCGCGCACUGAACUCGUUUCCUUCCCACCCAGCUCGGGACGCUCCUCUCUGACUUCCCCAGUGGGUCAGACCCAUUUCAUACACUGAAACCAAUUCCGUUCUGUUGGGCUCCUGAUUGAUUCAACUAGCUGGAAGGAUGCUGAGGCAGGGGUGAAGGCUGGGGUGGCUGGCAGGCUGUGAGAGGCAGAGGACAUCAGCAGAGCCUAUUUCGUGCCCUCUGAGUCUCCACACAGAGAUUUAUCACUGAGACCUUCCCGAUUCCCCUACCAGGGAUGCCGGCUGGCCCUGCCUGCCUGCGGGGCCCAGCCUAGGUCAGGCUCAUCUUUUGGGACAGGAUCCCACUUGCAGCGUUACAGUCAGCCCCUCCUCUGGUUCUCCGGCACCCACUUAAGGCGGAGUGACUGGCCUGAAAGUCCACAGUGGUCGUGUGGCUUCCGCUCGCAAAUAUCUCCCCUGGAUCUCCCUCCCUGGAGCCAGACAAGACCCGAAACUCCGAAGCGUGAGACCCCAGCCCUUCCACCACCACCCCCGCGCCACCCCACGCCCCAGGCCUGGGCUCACCCACCUCUCCAUCCCAGGUUCCGUGGGCUCCAGCCUCCUACCCUCUCUAGCACCCCAGCCCUUCCCCAACUCGUGUGCUUUCUUUUCCAGAAAUGGAGUCCCCGCAGGGCGCGAAGGAGAAACUGAUAGUCCGCAGUAGAGUGAACUUAAAGACCUGACUUUCAUUAGCGUGGUGUUGUAACAGACUGCCUAGGAGCCUCUGAGGAAAUGGGCUUUACGUACGUAUACAUACUCGCCCUUGCCCCUGAAGCGACAUAAAAUACUUUCAUAUUAUUCUUGGGGGCGUUUUAAUUCUUCAGAUCCUCUGGAUUCGUGUUUUUGUAACCCAUCAGACGAGCUUUUGUACAUUUCUUUCCAACCUGGGCCUACACACUAACAGAAAUAAUUUUACAUCGAAGGACAAUGCUUUAGUGUUUUAUUCAGUCUCAUCUCUUUUCUUUUUUUUUUUUUUUUUCUAGUUGUGUUUCAAAAAAAAUUUCUUUUUCUGUCUUGUGAUAGUUUUGGAGGAAAAAAUAUUGAAAUAAUUCAAAUCAGGCUCUUAACUCUGCUUUAUUAAAUUUAUAGUCAUAGUAGCCUGUGAGUAUGCUUCGGGGGAGGAAAAAAAAGAAUGCUGGCGUCUUUAUUCUUCAAGUUCCCUAAUUUGGAUAUUUUUAAUAAACACCCAGAGGUGUCUCUGCCUUUUCUGUUAGUAUCUAAUCUUUCCUGCAUUUACGAGUCACUAGUAAAAUGCUAUGACAGCCAUAGAUCCGGUGGCUCUCACUGUGAGUUUCCUGGGCUGAGUAGGGACUUAACAGAGGUUUAACCCCCAGGAUGCUUUUUUAUAGAAGCACCAGCUGAUUCACCAGUGCCCUCCAAAAUGAGCACCUAUCCAUCUCACUCUGGACUCCUAACAGGUCAAACCAGGGAGCUUCGUUGAAAUAGACUUGACAUUUAAAUUAAAAUGUUUCCCAAAGCAUCUUGGCAGACCUGUAACUAAUGAUGCCAGAGGCCCAAGGCCUGUGCCAGAUUCCUUUUUAUCCCCAUAAGUGCUUGUCUCCCACAAGCCACUGGUCACACACCUGCUGAUGUUAUAGCAGUACUUCUUUAUCCCACAAACAGCCCAACUGUAGGUACCAUAUCUCAGACAUGGUGAAGGGAAGCAGCAUGUUCUUCUGACAUGUGCAAUGCUUGGCUCACAACAGUCUUUUUAAUAAGCUAAACUCAGAUUUUUCAUCACAAAUAGUGUAGUAAGUAAUUGUUUUUCCUCAUUCCUGCUUGUCUCUCUGCAGUCACUAAGUGGUUGCUGUCCAUUCCUCAUAUUACACAAGCAAUAUUAUUGAAGAAAUUGUAACUAUUUUGCCAAAAUUCUUGCUGAAGUGUUUUCAUGGCAUUGUGAAAUUCAUAGAAGUUGGAGUUAGAAAAAGAGCCAAAAUAUAAUAGUCACUCCUCAGCAAAUAUUGUCUAAUGGUUCCCUCAGACAUUUCAGAGCAGGGCAAUAAAAUAUAGGCAAGACAUUAAUAAAAUGCCCAUUCUAAAUAGCUCCAUGAUGCUUAUGCCAAUUUAUUUUAUCUAUUUGCUAAUGGUUGGAUUCUGGUGAGCAACCUGCUCAUAAUAUUUAAAGUAGAUACCUUUAAAAUCUCACUGUAUCAUGCCAACAGUACAUGGCUUUGUCGCUUUUAAAUUUUCUUCAUAUUUCAAUCCAUCUCAGAUUUUAAUCAUUGUCACUCUUCACCAAACUGUCUUCUAUUUGCAUCAUCAAUUUAAUGCCCAGAACUUGAACUAUUCAGACUCCCUGUUCCAUAAGAACCUUCCUUCAGUCUCUCAAAAUAACACUGACUCAGUUUACUGACUUCUUGCCAUCAUUUAUACCCUUGUAGGUUAUGAAUUCAUAUCUAGUUUCCAGUUCACAGGCUCCAAUAUUAGGACUCUCCAACUUUUUUUUCUGAUUCAGCAUAAAAAUGGUGACCUGUCUCCUGACCUGCCGCCUGAUCUGCCUGCCAGGGUGGAUGCAGACCAACAUUUGCAAACCUUAACGGACAGUGUGACUGCUGAUUGGAAAGACAGCAACUGGAGCUCACAAAUAAUUUCCCCAAAGGUCAAUUAGACAGACCCACAAGCUAUCUCUGGCACACAUAGGAAGUAUCGGCCUCAUCUAUAUUUAUUGUAAUUCCCUUCUCCCUGGUCCCAUUAAAGGAGAGUUUGGGGUGCAAUAAAUAUUUCAGGAUAAAAAUGUCCAUGUACCCACUUUCCAGAGCCCCAGCCAGUGACCCCCUUAUUUCCAUUUCGAAUAUAAUAAAAUGUCUGUUCAAUCACAGAA